rnacentral:rRNA from 1 species
GACAGAGGCCUCGAGCGUUAGGCGGAAUCACUGGGCUUAAAGCGUGUGUAGGCGGGCCCGUAAGUGUCUUGUGAAAUCCCACGGCUCAACCGUGGAACUGCUGGGCAUACUGGCGAUCUUGGGCCAACUAGGGGCAACUGGAACAAGCGGUGGAGCGGUGAAAUGCGUAGAUAUUGGGAGGAACACCAGUGGCGAAGGCGGCCUGCUGGGCUUUAACUGACGCUGAUGCUCGAAAGCGUGGGGAGCAAACAGG